rnacentral:rRNA from 1 species
ACAGGGAGGACAGGUGGUGCAUGGUUGUCGUCAGCUCGUGUCGUGAGAUGUGGUUAAGUCCGCAACGAGCGCAACCCUUACUUGCUAGUUACCAUCAUUGAGUUGGGGACGUCUAGCGAGACUGCCAGUGAUAAACUGGAGGAAGGUGGGGAUGACGUCAAAUCAUCAUGCCCCUUAUGACCUGGGCUACAAACGUGAUACAAUGGCUGAAACAAAGGGCAGCGAAGCAGUGAUGUGGAGCGAAACCCAAAAAAGCAGUCUCAGUUCGGAUUGAAGUCUGCAACUCGACUUCAUGAAGUCGGAAUCGCUAGUAAUCGCGGAUCAGAACGCCGCGGUGAAUACGUUCUCGGGGUUU